UACUCGAGAACCAUGGGAUAUGUCUGAGGGAGACAGAAAAAGGAGAGAAAUCCGUUUUCAGGUUUAAAAUCCAAACGGCACAGAGAAACCACAUGGCUGCUCUAGUAAUAAUAAUAAUAAUGCAUUGAACUUAUAUAGCGCUUUUCAAGUGUGGGAACAUUACACACUGGACCAUCACAGCAGAAGGCUCUGUGUUCAGCUCACAUCAGUUUAUUCAGUAGAAACUCAGAUCUAAACUUUAGUUUGAACCAAAGCAAAACGUGUGCUGCAGUUUGACUGGCAAAGAUGAAACUGUUAAAUAUUAGGAUAUAGUGCAACAGUUCAUUUAUGUCAGUAAAUCAACCUAAAAGGUGGAACUAAUCUAUGAGACAGACUCAUGCAUGCAAACCCAGAUACUUCCGCCCUUAUUUGUUGUAAUUGUGAUGAUUAAGGCUUAGUUUAUGAAAACCCCACUUUCAAAAUCUCAGACAAUUAGAAUAUUGUGAAAAGGUUCAAAAUUCUAGACUCAAAGUGUCACAUUCUAAUCAGCUAAUGAAUCCAGAAGGGUUCCUGAGCUUUUAGGUGGUCUCUCAGUCUGAGCUGGAUUACUGGCAUUAAUGGACUUUUGCUCCAUAUUCUCACUUUUACUGUUACACCUGUAAGCUGCUGUUAGUUAGCUCAGCCCACCACCUUUAUAUGACAUAAAGAAAUGGUUUGGUUGGUUGGACAACCCGUCUACUACCCAGUGGGUAAAAAAUAAUCCAGAGACCUAUGAGGGACCCUGGACCGGUUGUUGGGGACCACUGAAUUAAAGGUGAGCAGCAAUUUAUUUGUGAAAACUCAAACUGAUUUGGUCAACCCCAAUCCGUGUAUAGUUUGUUCUAUUUUUGAUUGAAAAAUAAAAGGAAAAUUUAAUUUUUUUUGUUUGUUUUAUCAACAGAUUUUUUUUUAAUCGUGUUUUUCGUAUUUUCUAUUUUAGCCUCUGAUCAAAAAGGAAAAAUGGCUGUAGGACCGAAUUUGGUUUUAAUAUUUAAUUUCUUGGGUUCAUGUAGGGCUGGGCGAUAUGGACCAAAACGUAUAUCUCGAUAUCUUUUAGCUGAAUUUCCGAUAUAUAUAUAUAUAUCUCGAUAUUCUUCCUCCUGUAAAAUAUUUACAAGUUAACUCACUUCAAGCUGUCUUGAGAAAUUAUAAACAUAAAUCAGUAGAUUAAAUGCAUAAAAAUGUAUUGAUUCUUGCCAAACUUUAACCUUAGUACCUAUUCUCAACCAGUCUGAGCUUUAGAAACACUGGUAGAGCUGUCUGCUAACACACACACACACACACACACACACACACACACACACACACACACACACACACACACACACACACACACACACACACACACACAGUAGAGAGCUAGAGGUGUAUAAAAUGUCCCACAGGCACUUUUAAAAUAUGUAUUUAUAAUUAAUGUAAAAUUAUUAAAAUUUAAUCUACAGGUUGGCCGUUUCCAUAAUUUCUUGUCCCAAGAAAAAUAUCAAUCAUGUUAAACUAAAUUUAUGAUGAUGUAAUUGCAUCUACUGAAGAUCACAUGGGUCAUGCACUGUGGAGUUAUCAGGGCAAACAUGGCUGGAGUCUAACAGUGUUGGCUCAUAUCAGCGAUUAUACUGUAAUGACUCAGAGUCUCUGGUUGCUCUUUUAUCAGUAUUAUUUUUGGGCUACUGUCGCCGUAACCCACGCCUUACAAACUCUUUAACUUUUUCAACAGAAUUGCUCGUAACGGAGUAUUUACUAGCAUAGCAAACCAGAGCGGAAAAUAAUGGAACAACAUUUCUCACCUGUUGAACUAGCCUUCAAAAUGAUUAGUUACCCCUAUAGUUUACUAUGCAAACCCUUACUAUAUGUCUGAGGUAAUUUGGCCACUCCGGCAACACAUUCUCACACCCAAAGUGUCGAAAAAUUAUGCGUGUGACCAAGCGUCAAAAUAUGACGAUUCAGGGUGCCCCAGCGCGUCAGGAGAGGACGCGCUGUCCCAGAGCGUUGGUGUCCGACACUUGCGGUUACACAGACAUUUGACCGAGUUGUGACCUACUUAACCUUCCCCUCACCCCCAUUCUAACCUUAACCAGCUUAUGCAUGCAAAGCUUAAUUGAAAAUUACUGAGUUAAGGUUAGGAUGGGGGUGAGGGGAAGGUUAAAUCGCUAGACGUUCGAGGUGAAAUGUCCGUGUCACAGCGGGCGUCUAACCCUAACCCUAACGCACAGCCAAAACAUCACGUGUGAUCUCGUGAGAAAACAUCCUUUACAAAAAACAGGUCAGAAAGCACUAGCAUGGCCUAAAACACUAUGUAUGUAUGUAUGUAUGGUAGUAACAGGUGAUGACUCCUUUAAUUGUGAAGAAUCAGAAAAUGGCGGAAUGUAGCGUCUUAGACAAGACAGUCAGGAAUCAGCUCAGUGUGACACUGGGACAAUGGAUUACACAAACUAAGUGUUUUUUAAACUAUAAAACAGAUUAUUAUGACCAUAAACCAGUAAAUGUAAGACUGAAUUUAAGCUUUUAACUUCAUGAAACUAGCUUUGUUUGUUUUGCUGCUGAGUUCCUUGAGUUUUGCAAGUAGAGUAAUGGUACUUUUCUAUUUGUAAAGAGGAGAGUCUGGGCUUUAAUUUAAAUGGCUGCUUCUGUGGAAAGGAUAAUGUUGCAUUGGUGCUACUGUGUUUUUCUCGAUUUUUUAUUGUCCUUAUUGUCAGUGGGAGUUGUAGAGGUAGAAAGGGUGCAUUUUAUGGUGUAGAUGAGCCUCUUCCCAUUAAGUACAUGUGCAGUUUGCAUAUAUCAUUGGUUAACAUUAAGAAUGUUUUUGACACAACUUUGUUGCCGGAAGUGCUCACUGACCCGGUACAGGGCCUGUCAAGUUCAAGUUGUGUGACGCAUAAUGGUAAUUUGAUGUCCCCUAGUGGUGAUAUGUGGUUAGUGCAUCUGAAAACAAAUGGCAAAAAAAAAUUUGAAUGUGAUCUCAGGAGUUAUAUCCUUGACAUUUUUAAUACCUUCCGGAAUGAGUUGUUUUAGGGCUCUGUCACUUUAAUGCUAAAAAACUGUUUGUUAUGGAAAUUUUAUGUUUAUCAUUUCUUGAUCAUUGAUUCAUGUAAUAUGUAUUUCUCUAUGCCUAAAUGCAUGCUCAUUUAUUCAGACACACCCACACUCACACAGACAUUUCCACACACACACACAUUUUCUUAUCUCAUGUUAUAAAUAAACUGAGAAUUCAGGAGCUCGGGGCAGUAGCCUUGUAGCUUCUGCCUCCUCAUUGCAAUCUGGAUACUUGUCUGUCAUUUGUUUAUUUUUCUCUGGUUGCAGGCACUGGGUUGUUGAUAAAAUCCUUGACAUUAUUUGGUCCUUCGAGCCGAGGCCCCGGUUUCCUCUCGAUGCCAAAAACCACCACCGGAUACCUGCCGCGACACCUCCAAAAGCCUCCAGUGCUGGCUUUCACUGGAGGUCGGUGCUUGGAUCUUGACGUAGCUGCAGGGAACCAUAUGGAUCAACGAACUCAAGGCCUGCGCCGAGAGAUCUGGUGAGACAAGUUGUUUGUUGUUUGUUUUGUGGUGCUGAGAGAAAUCCUCGGUGACUAAAGAUUCAAAUUUUGAUGACGUCCGCCGUGAAUAGGGUGGUUUUGACAGGUUCUUUGAAUGCUGUCUGUAUUGGCUUGGUUUUCUGCAUUUUAGCCGAAAUUAGAAAUGCAACUCUGGUGUAAGAAAUGAAGUAGACCGGUGUGGUAACUAUGAGAUUAUAAAGUGUUGCAUUGAUUCUGCUGAAAACCUACCCUUUCUGACACACAAUAGACAUCUCACGUAUGUUUCUACAUUUUUGUCGCAGUCACAUGUUGAAAUAGUGCGCUGUGGUAGCUUGAAACCUGCUUCGCUCUUACCUACUGACAUAGAUGGAGAACAACAUUGCUGCAAAACACUCACCAAUGAAAUGACAAAACCAUGUGUUGACAUUUUAGACAUUCCUUAGCCUGACUGCAUCUCUCUUUAUGUUGAUGGGUCGGCUACUAAAGAUGCUUCUGGAAAAAACCUGGUUGGUUAUGCAGUGACCACUCAAACAUCAGUUAUGGAGGCUAAACCAUUGCCCUCUCAUUGCUCUGCCCAGGUAGCUGAACUGGUGGCUGUGACUAGAGCCUGCCAGCUGCUCUCAGGACAAGACAUAAGCAUUUUCACUGAUAGUAUGUGUAUGCUUCAGUGCACCACUUUGUCCAGAUUUGGAAAAACAAGGGCAUGGUCACAUCCACUGGUAAACAGCUGACUCACGCUUCAAGGCUCUUGGAGCUGUUGGAAGCUGUACAACUCCCAUGCAAAUUGUCUCAGUGCAAAUGCCCUGCACAUCAGACAGACGACUCUGACAUCACGAGAGGCAAUAAUUUUGCAGAUAAAGCAGCUAAAUCUGCGGCCCUCAUGCCGCCCACCCUUGGAGCUUCAUGCUACUGCUCUGACACAAUCUCACGUGACAUCCUACACGAGGCUCAGACUUCUGCUCCCGAUCAGGAACAGCGGUCCUGGCUUAGAUUUAAACCUGUGAAUAUUGAUAUGUGUUGCAUGUAAAUAACAAACCUAUUUUGCCUAAGUCUUUGUUUCCCACUGCUGUCCUUAUGAGUCAUGGGUUGACCCAUGUCUCAAAGGGGGGGAUGUGUCAGUUAAUCAAUAUUAAUAUUCCACAAUAUUAAUUUUUCUACUUUUGCUAAUUACGUUUGCUGAAAAUGUUUAAUCUGCAUGAAAAACAACACUCAAGGGCAUUUAAGACCAAAACGGGGACAAUUUCCAACACCUGCUUAUCCAUUUCACACAAUACACAUGGACUUUAUUGAACUAUCACAGAUGCAAGGAACAAGAUAUUGCUUGGUGGUAAUAGAUGCUUUAUCCAAGUGGCCAGAAAUAUAUCCUACAAAGAAAAACGAUGCUUUAACAGUGGCAAAGGUGUUGUUUUUUCCCCACUUAUGGAAUCCCAUCGUUUAUUAGAUGAGAUAAUGGGAUAUAUUUUGUGAAUGAGGUAUUGACCAGGUGCUCUGAAACCUUAGGGUUUGAGCUGAAACAUUGUUCUUAUCACCCAUCUUCAGCUGGCUUAGUUGAACGUACGAACGGGACAAUUAAAAAUAGGCUGGCUAAAACAGUGGCUGAGACAGGACGUCCAUGGCCAGAGAGCCUAUCAUUAGUAAAACUGUGGAUGAGGGUAACGGCUCCCUCUGGUGGACCAACACCAUUUGAGUGGUUUAUGGAAGAAGAUUCCUUUUUCCCUACAUCACGGAUCCUGUGGUUCACAGUGACAGAGAAAAUACUUUGGCAGAUUGGAUGGUUUAACUGUUUACUGAUAAACAAGUCAAGAUAAACAAUGAUCUCCCAGAACCCUCUUGUGCUUUUUCGCCCACACAGGUCGUGAAACCAGGAAAUUGGGUUCUGAUCAAGGUGCUGAAACGAGACAACUGGCGCUGCCCGAGGUGGGAAGGCCCGUUCCAAGUUCUCCUAACCACCCCCACUGCCGUGAAAAUUGCUGAGAGGCCAUCUUGGAUUCAUCUAUCCUACUGCAAGCUCAUCGAUGUCAACUAACUGCAUUUAGGGCACAAUGAAGUCCGGCUGCAAAGGGGUGGGCCACCACUAGGGUGCCACGUCUCAAACCCGGUGAAGAUGUAGGUCCGCUUCAAGAUCAUUGGUUUCACCACAUUGUUGAUGUUGGUGGUCGCAGUGAACCCUGCCAUCGGAACAUCAAGCACGCUUCAAAAAUCGUUUGGAUCGCCUGCGGCGCUUCAGGCAGAGGUGCUAUGGUGUCUGAACACUGCCGUGCAGCACCACUCCUACGCAUCCAAUGAAGGUGUUUCGGAGUUGUUCCAGGCAAUGUUUUCGGAUACUGAAAUAGCUAAAUCUUUCAACUGAGGAAAGGACAAGACAAGCUACGUUUUAAAGUUUGGACUCGCCCCACAUGUCAAAAAAGAACUGAUUUCUGCAGCUACCAACGCUGGACCAUUUGUGCUGAUGUUUGAUGAAAGCUUCAACCAGUCCACAAAAAAUAAACAACUAGACGUCCAUAUUCGAUUUUGGGAGGCUGGUGCUGUCCAGUCACGUUAUCUUGGAUCACAGUUUGUGGGCCAUUCAAAGGCUAAAGAUUUGCUGCACCAUUUCAAAGAUUGUGUGUGUCUGCUAGACAUGAAGAACCUCCUUUCCAUCAGUAUGGAUGGGCCAAAUGUGAACUUGAAGUUUUUAAAUGAUUUCCAGCAAGAGCAUGCUGAACUACAUGGAGGCCGCCAAUUAAUUAAUGUUGGAAGCUGUGGACUGCACACUCUGCACAAUUCAUUCAAGACUGGCUUCUCCACAUGGAAUAUUGAGAAACUGUUAAGAGCAAUGUCCCUGCGAGAAGAGAAGAUUUUACAAAACUUACAGGCUCAUCUCUUUUUCCACUCCCAUUCUGUGGACACAGAUGGGUGGAAAAUCUUCCUGUUGCAGAGAGAGCUAUUGAAGUAUGGCCAAAGCUUAAAGAUGUGAAGGCAGUCCAUAGAAAAGAACUCCCAAACCCUGGAACCUCUUCUUUUGACACUAUUCAAGCAGCAAAUGAAGAUCCCCUGAUUUCAGCCAAACUUCCGUUUUUCAUGGCAAUCUCCAGAACGUUUAGUCCAUUU